rnacentral:rRNA from 1 species
AUUGAACGCUGGCGGCAGGCCUAACACAUGCAAGUCGAACGAGUGGCGGACGGGUGAGUAAUGUCUGGGAAACUGCCUGAUGGAGGGGGAUAACUACUGGAAACGGUAGCUAAUACCGCAUACCAUCGGAUGUGCCCAGAUGGGAUUAGCUUGUUGGUGGGGUAACGGCUCACCAAGGCGACAAUCCCUAGCUGGUCUGAGAGGAUGACCAGCCACGCGGGAACUGGGACACGGUCCAGACUCCUACGGGAGGCAGCAGUGGGACAAAUUGCACAAUGGGCGCAAGCCUGAUGCAACCAUGCCGGGUGUAUGAAGCAGGCCUUCGGGUUGUAAAGUACUUUCAGCGGGGAGGCGUUACCCGCAGAAGAAGCACCGGCUAACUCCGUGCCAGCAGCCGCGGUAAUAC